GUAAAUAUAUAUUCCGAAUAAUAAUCACAAAAUUAGUGGUAGCAAGCUGUACCAUAUCUUGACUUUCUGCCGUGCACAUGGCAAAACAAAUCUUUUUCUCCAAAAAGUAGUGUGUCGACCUAAAUCUUUAACAAGGAAUAUGCAUUUAUGUACACAUUUUUCAUUUAUGAUUAUUCCAACAGAAAGCUCAUUCUCAUGGUUGAGCCACUUUUUCAGGUCAAAAUACCUGAGCCACUCACAACUCACAAGUGCAUGUGGACAUCAACUAGCUUUGUGUUCCCCAAUGCGAUAGGCACCAGAUCACUGCACGAACCUAGCAUGUUUUGCCCAACGUAAAUUAGAGAGGUCAGAGCCCUGUGCAAAUUGCAGAGCCGGGAUUUCGUAGUUUAGCAAUACGUAACGCCUAUGGGAAAUGAACAAACUAACUAACCCAUUAGCUCAGAUGCCUCAGAAGCACACCAGCAUUCAAUUUUCACCAGCUGACUUAUUGAUUCGAUCUGGUGUUGUCAUGGCGGCUCCCUGCCGCCUAACUUUCUGCAUCAACUUGUAGUAGUAAGUACUUGGAUUGCCUACAAAGAAGUGAGUUAGUUUUAGUAGUUAAAAAGCCAACUCAAUACCACUAGCCUCACUGUCUAUUGAGUAACCAUCAUAUGAUAUUGUCUGGCUCAACCUGAUAGUUACCAGAAUACUAAUCGUUGGCUCUGCCGAAUACAAGCUGCCGCACAUAAGAAAUCUAAUCGGCGUUAAUAAACAAUAUAGGACAGGUGCCUAAGCUUCGGGAGCCAAUGAAUGACUGCUUGAAUUUGUUGUUAUCAUGGUACUACUACCUCUGCAAUUGUGCGGGAGACAUCAGCUCUCAAAGAUCUACAUCAUGUCAUUAGGACCACCUAUCCUACGACUAGAUUGCCCACCAAUCAAAUUAGGGGUGGAGGAGAGCCUAGGGCAGAGAGACCACGCAAUCCAAUUGGGAUACGCAGGCAUCAAAUCAUGGGAGGAGGGACCGAGCCCCAUCAAGGUCGACGCUGCCAAAAUAACCAAUUGCCAUAUACUCCAAACGAACCACCAGUGUCCAGUGGGUUCUCAAGCCAGAUAUGGUAAAGAAUAAUGGUACAAGAGCAACGGCCACCGAGGCACCGACGACAACAGUAUCGCCACCAUGCCCCCAUUGAUUUUGUAGGUCCCCGCCACAACACAAAUAAUUCUGCUUUCCGGUAGAUGUAGCUUGCAGGAUCCAUUGCUUGGGGACACAAUGUCCCUGGUGUGGCUGAAAUGUUGGCCACAGCAAACACUGACCGUGGAAUUGCUAUGAUGUCUUAAUGUCUUAAGAUCGGCUAUAAUCUUAGGAACUCCUAACCUUUGAUUGCUUGCUAGGUUUUGAUUUGNNNNNNNNNNNNNNNNNNNNNNNNNNNNNNNNNNNNNNNNNNNNNNNNNNNNNNNNNNNNNNNNNNNNNNNNNNNNNNNNNNNNNNNNNNNNNNNNNNNNNNNNNNNNNNNNNNNNNNNNNNNNNNNNNNNNNNNNNNNNNNNNNNNNNNNNNNNNNNNNNNNNNNNNNNNNNNNNNNNNNNNNNNNNNNNNNNNNNNNNNNNNNNNNNNNNNNNNNNNNNNNNNNNNNNNNNNNNNNNNNNNNNNNNNNNNNNNNNNNNNNNNNNNNNNNNNNNNNNNNNNNNNNNNNNNNNNNNNNNNNNNNNNNNNNNNNNNNNNNNNNNNNNNNNNNNNNNNNNNNNNNNNNNNNNNNNNNNNNNNNNNNNNNNNNNNNNNNNNNNNNNNNNNNNNNNNNNNNNNNNNNNNNNNNNNNNNNNNNNNAGGUACAUAUGUGAGAUUUGCUACAAGAUUUGCAAAGUAUCACAAGAAGACAACAUGUCGGCAUCACGCAGGAUUCCAUAAAUUACCGCAAAAAUUCCCAGAGAUUUUUGUGAGAAUUGAAGGUUUUUAACAUAAAGUAAGUGCAAACAUUUCUAAUUAGAAAAAUGAUGUAACUAAUAUAAGCAUGCAACUGUUUCAUACAAACUAUUUUUUUAGUGUAAUUACCAGAUUCUUAUGCAGGAUGGACAAAAUGCUCCAAUCUAUUUUCAGUCCUAAGAGGCACAUGCAUGUCUGCAAAAUUAGUUUUAACCUACCUUUCUAUAAGGACAGCUAGGCUGGUCCUUCCAAGAAUCAAACUGAAGAUUAGUGCAUACAUUUUUUUUCAGAAUUUGGUUGUUAGUUGAAAUUCUCAAUAUAGUAACCAAAAUCAUGGUGAAAAUGGUCCUGCUAGCAUAUAUUGAGGAUGCUUUUUAAUAGAAUGAAGGGAGGAUGUUUACUAUUCAUGGGCUUGUAAUUGUCCAAUACUACAGAAGUAGAACUUGACAAGCUUUUGUAAUUCUAAAAUAUUUGGGAAUGGACUACAAAGAACUCUAUAAAAUUUGCUUAGGUCAAGAGUUGCGCACCACGUCCACCGCAUGUCCACAGGCUCCACAUGCAGCAGAGAUCAAAUGCUAAUCCUCUCAACCAACCAAUCCAAAAGAUGCCGAACCCUCAUGGCCAUGGGCCACUAUACUUAUUUAAAAAUGGACAUCGGACCCAGGACAACCAAUUGGUGACUCAUCAUGUCUCAUCCCAAAACGGAAAACUUUGUGGUGAAAUAUUUUGCAGUAUAUUAACUCAUCGGCCAUAACAAUUCCAUAUCCAACUUGCUCGUGCCUAUAAAUGAAGACCAUCCCACCCUAUGGCAAUGCACACCAGCAGACCAUUCCACAUGAUAGCAAAGCAGUCAGGGUAGGGGAAGAGGAAGAAGGGACGAGAGCCGAGAAGUACCUGUAGAGCGUAUACUGGCGAGGAUUCUGCUGGGUUGCCAUACGCUAAGAGGCAGAGAACGGGAUGCAGCCAAGGAUGACUUGCCGGCUCCUGGUGUUGGGAGUUCACUGAGCUUUAGAGUUAGCCGGCAAGUUGUCCUUGGCUACACCUAGUUCUCUUCUUCUGGUGUUUGGCCCUCGAGCAUUGCUGAGAAAACUCUAAUGCCUGCAUUUCUAUCAACUUCCAUCAUGGAAAUACAUGAAUAAGUAAGUACGCAAAGCAUAAAAGGUAUGCAUCUCUAGCUAGCCAGCUCUUAGCAUCUCAAGCUAGUUCAACCUCUACUCAGACAUAAAACAAUUCCAGCUCUAUAUAUGUAUAUAUGGAAAGUAAAAAGAAUAGCUUAUUACUGUUCUAUCUGCAAUGGAAAUGCAUGAACAGAAAACAUAAGUACAAAAGGCAUGGAUACGAGCUCAACCUCCACUUAACAUCAGAUCUGUACAAUUCCAUAUGUAUAUAUCAGACGAUAUCAUCAUUCCUUUGCCAUUAUUUUAUGCUAAUACAUGAUUUUUUUAAGAUAAGAGAUUGGCUUUCUUGUGGUACCCCCUGACGAAAAUGAAAGUCCGAAGGAUGUACAGAACGCACUGCGUGACAAAAGAUUCCUCGAGGCUCUCACAUGGCGGCAGAAAUUGUACUUGCAAUAUUGUACCACAGAGAUUAUGUAUACACAAAAGAAAAUCUUAAUCAUGUAGGACAGGAAGCAGGAGGUGCAUCAGCAAUGUAACCAUGUUACAAAAGCACCGCAUUCCCUUUUCAAUACAAAAAAGAAUGGACAACUUCAUUCCUCAAGUAAUCAGUGUUGUUGUCCUGUUCAUGUCCUUUGAAUAGAGCACUUUACUUUAUUGGCUAAAAGCCCAAAGGUGACGAUGUUAACAAGAGCUUUACCUCAUUAUUAGCACAAAAACUAAACAUUUUCCCGAUGCAAGGUAUCAUGGGUGAAUGCUCAGGAUCGAUAAACCAUAAUAAUGAGUUAAUGACUGAUGCAGCUUUCUGAAGGGAACAACGCGGAGUAACUAGUAAGGCUCUAUAUCUAACUUUUAUUUAAAAAAAUCAUAAUAAAAAUGAUGAAACUUGUCAGCAUCAACUGUUUUAAUUGUGACAUCAGAAUUACGUUUUCUAUUCGAAGCAAAACACGUUCCACAUUGAGCAUCCUUCAUUACCUCAAAGUUGAAUGGUUGAUAGAUGACGGAACAUGGUUUUAUUGGACUCCAAUAUAUGGGCUUCAUGCUAACACUGAUAUUGUAAUCUAGAAAGUCUAGAACACAUGGUCACGACAAAUCCACAACCCUCCAUGACAAGUAUCGCAUGAGUCUGAGAGUACUUGAAUAUAUAUACGGAAACUCACUUGAAUAUACAGAGAGAACAGAUGGUACAUUAUUUAGAUGUGAUUUUCUCUUUUACAUAAGAAGUCACAAAGGAAGUCGGUAGCUGUAAUAUUCAAACAAAUCAGCGAUACCAGCCAAUGUACUUUUUGAUGCACCAGGUAAUAAUAAUUGUACUGGUCAUUAUUUACAGAUUUAAGUUGAAUGAUGUGUGCUAAUAAAUCAUGUGGUAAUGCAGCAUAAUAAGAUGCCCAGAUGCAUGUGUCAUCAUGAACCAACAACAAAAGAGAUCACUCUGUUAAUGUCAGAAAACAAAAUCAGGAUUUGUUGGCAAGACAUGUCACAAAUGAAGCUUCGGUUACUUCAUGAAACCAACAUUAGUAUUAUACAAGGGCUACCAAAUGCAGAUCAAUAACAAAAAUAUCAGUUUUCUCGAAAGAUAACAAGCAUUAAUGCUUGACAAGUACUCCCUCUGUUCCAAGUUAUUUGAAGUUCUAGCUUUGCUAUGUCAAAACAUCUUUAAGUUUAACCAAGUCUGCAAAAAGAUAUCUCAAAUUUACAAUACCAAAUUAGUUUCAUAAGAUUUGUCAUAAAUCAUAUUUUCAUACAAUAUACGUUUUUAUGUUGUAGAUAUUAGCAUAUUUUUUGUAUACUUGGUCAAAGUUUAAAAAGUUUGACUUAGGACAAAGCUAAAACUUCAAGUAACUUGGAACAGAGGGAGUAUGACUCGACACUGACCACAUCAUUGCAGCGUAUAUGAUUUUAAGAGAACUCCAGUAUUAGUACCCACAAAGAAAUUUCGCACUAAGAAUGCAAGGAAUAACUAGUCUUUACUCUGAACAUCAAAUGGAAUAUAAAGAGAGUAAAUAUAGUAAGUACAAAUUUCAGAUUAUAUUGAACUAACAAAGACACUAUUCAAUUUCAAACCUGUUUGAUAGACACGAUUUCUAAAUCUACUCCUGCCAUAUAAAUGGAUAGAAUAGGAGCAAGAAAGACAUAUUUCUUAAGUAUACGACUGAACAAGGGGAUAUUGCAUGCUCUAGGCACAUGAGAUGUGCUAGUGCACUAAGACACACUUAACCAUCUCCAAUUGUCAUGAGAAGUUCUGCUAUUUUUUACAACACUUGUCUACCGCGGCAAGAAAAUUCAAGACCAAAUCAAGUCUAGAUGUCAAGAACAAAAAGAUAAUCCUUGUCGGAAAUAGUAGUAGUGGCUUCCAGGUACUACUCAUAGUGCGGUUGUCUUUUCUUAUUUCUUGGUGUAUUGAUCGAGUUUGGAUUCUAAAUUUUCUGGUAAGGCAUAUGCAUCAUGUGCAAAUGUUGUCCAUACUUUUUGGGUUCUUUCAUGACCACUAGAGGUGCUUAUUAAGCCUCUAGUACAAACUGUGUACGUUUUUGUUUAAAGCAGGCCAAAUCCAUUAACACACGCGAUAUCCCCCACGCCCCCCNNNNNNNNNNNNNNNNNNNNNNNNNNNNNNNNNNNNNNNNNNNNNNNNNNNNNNNNNNNNNNNNNNNNNNNNNNNNNNNNNNNNNNNNNNNNNNNNNNNNNNNNNNNNNNNNNNNNNNNNNNNNNNNNNNNNNNNNNNNNNNNNNNNNNNNNNNNNNNNNNNNNNNNNNNNNNNNNNNNNNNNNNNNNNNNNNNNNNNNNNNNNNNNNNNNNNNNNNNNNNNNNNNNNNNNNNNNNNNNNNNNNNNNNNNNNNNNNNNNNNNNNNNNCAGGACAAAGAUAAGAAAUGCAUUCUCAGAGCAUAUGAUUGGUUUGAUGCCAAUAUUUAUUUGGCUAGUGAUUGGUUGGCUAUGAACUUGCCAAAUAUUGGCAAGUGAUUGGUUGAUUCCCAAUUUUUUUUGCCAACCUCACAAAAAGGUGCCAAUUUUUGGCCAGUCUUGAUAUUGUCAAAAUUUGGGUAGCAAACUAACAGUACCCAUUCAUUGGGUGCAUAAUAGUAUUUGUCACAGCAUGCCCAAGCCAGAAGCACGUCUUGUCCUGCACAAAUACCAUAACCACAUGAAAUCCCUUGGUAAACUUGAGACAUGGAUCAAAUAUCAUACGAUGAUGCAUCAUACAACACGAGAAGCCAUUUGGACAGGCUGAAAAACAGAAACUACCCUACAGUAUAGCAGCACUAAGUUUUUCCUCCAUGAUACUAUACACUUUAAUCAAAAGCCCUGGAAUCCUCUGUAGACUGAGUCCUAUCCAUCAGUCUAACCUAGAUACUUCACAUAACCUACCUAACAGAACAAUUCAAUAGAUGCCAGCUCCCAGCCUUUUAGCCAGCAAAUAUAUUCUUAAAAGUUGGAAAUCCAUAAAGCCUCAAUGUGUGGACAGGUAAUCAUUUUCACUCAAGGAAAAAGUUAUGCCAAUAACUUUUUAAAAGAUUAAGUCAAAACGAGAUUUCACUAUCGUGCCAGAUCUAGUUGUAGUGCUGCCCCUAUAAAUACCCUCCCCUCGAUGUAUACCAGAAGCACACCCAUAGCUGAAUAGCUGAGAGAGAUGAGAAAUCGGAGUGAAGAGUUCGCUGCCGCAAGAGCCAUGCAGAAAGAGGCAGAGAGUGGAAUGCAGCCAAGGAUGACUUGCCGACAGCACACAACAAGGUGGUAGUAAUCUUGCCGGCAAGUCCGUCCUUGGCUACACCUUGCUCUCUACCUCUGCUGUGUGGCUUUUGCAUGGCCUGGAGAAACUUGAAUGUGCCUGGUGUCUUUCUUCUUCCAUAGAGGUAAAACUACUUGCCUCACAGAACUAUCAACUGUCAGUUUUUUUUGGUGGGGGAAGAGGGGGGAGGGGGGUUAUGGGGGCGCGAAACCCACCUGAACAUUUUCAAUUUAGCCAGGAGAGAUAGCAGUGACCAUUUUUUGCAGAGUCACAGAGGAGAGAUUCAAAGAGAAGCACUACGAGCUGAUCUCAGCCAAAUUUAGAAGUCCUAGUCCAAAACACCUGCCAUCAUAACAGCGACGUGGAGAAACUCUGGAUCCAUGCCAAAAUUGACUUACACAUAGAGCAGGAGCAUCACCAGCACCACAGGAGAACAUAGGCGGCAAUUUUCCAGGCAACGGUGACGGGUGCCAGGUGCUCGCUGAGAAUGACUUUGGCGCUCAGCUGCUACUGUCAGACUUGAAACAAAUUUAUGCAUGUGUUCAAGGAAUAUCGCUAAACUAUAAACUCCAUGUGGUGCCAGUAAAAAUGAACUGAAUGCUGUUGACUUGCAAUAUGUAUACAGACUCGUCAAGUAUUUUCAGCAUUGAUCAUCGCCAGUUUAGAAAGAUAAAAUAAACAGCGAACCUUUUGAAUCAGAAAGUACGUAAAUAAGCUAAAGUAUGCCAGCAGCAGCUCCACUCCAGCAUGAUCAGUUAGAUAGUACGUAGAUAGAUAUUUCUGCGGGUACCUUGGUGAUUGCAGAUCUGUCAGAGAUUAUAUGCACAGUUAAAAAAUCUGAUUGCAGCUAAAAUGGGAGUGCAUAUCAUCUGGAUACAGGCACGAUAUCACAAAACUAUCCAUCCCUGAGAGCACACAUAUAAAUACAUAAUAUUAGAUGAGAAUAAAUUGGCCUUCGUUAACGAAGCCAGAGAAUACAUCCCGCUUAAUUAAUCAAAAAAUAAAACAGAUGAGAAUGAAACUAUAAACCACAUAGUAUGAAAGAGCUUGAUUGUUAAUACUCGAAAGAACAUGUAUGUUUUUACUUUUUUUUCAUCUAUGAAGAACUUAUAUAGCAUUAUCAGUUGAAAAACUUAUUUUGGAAAAAAAACAUUCUAAACAAGGUGUGAUAUGAUUUGUCAACUCGUAGUAUACACAGGAUAUCAGUGUAAGAUCUCAGAGUCUGUCCAAGAAGAAUGAUGUAUAAGCAAGUUUCAUGUAUAUUUAAUAAAUAAAUGGACGAUGAAAAAUAAUCACAUUCCAUCAUUUUACCACAGGAAAAUAAAGACAUUUCACACAUUGUCAGUAACUACUACUCCCUCCGUUCCAAAAUAAGUGUCAUGGUUUUAGUUCUUAUUUUGGAACAGAGGGAGUACAUAACAAAUAUAAAAGUUCAGCUCAAUUUAUAGUGCUUUUUGGUUAAUAUGAUAUACUCCCUCCGUCCCAUAAUAUAAGAGCCCCAUAAUAUAAGAGCGCUAGUGUCAAAAACACUCUUAUAUUAUAGGACGGAGAGAGUAAUAGAUAAUACUUGACCAAAUGCACAUGUAUCUCUUUUUCACAGAAUCAGAAAAGGACGGCUCAGGAGACACAGUUCUUUUAUUGAUGCUCAUUCAUAAAAUAAAUGGUACAGCUAUAAAGGAGAAUCAAGUGAUUUUUUGGUGGUCAUAUCUAGGGCAGAUCACCAGUACCUCUUUGCAUUCCCUGUAUAAUGUGUGCUCAGAUAAUACUUCCAUUUUUCAGCCCAUGACAUGGAAUUGCGGACCAAUGACAUGAAUCUGUAUAAUAACAUAAACUGGAUUUUUCGUUCCUCUCACAAAUGUAUACCUAUAUUUACUCUGAUACAGUGCCCAUAUGAAAUGUUUACUAACAUCAAAUACUGGGGACAUGUAGCCAUUGAUAUAUUAAAUGAUCAUGUGGAAGCACUCAUUCAAAGUGUAUAUAUAAUAAAAUAUAAAACAAUGUAUCAUAAUUGGCACCUCAGAAUAUUAUGGAAAAUUGCAACAUACUGUAAUAAAACCUGCAAAGAAGUCCACUUCAUUGGGACACUUCCAUAGAAGCCGAGACAGCAAGGCAGUACUAUUCCGAAUUACAUCUGAUGAUGUCUGAUGUAAUGUAGGAUGAAAACCAAUGCUUGUAAUGUUCUGCUGAAAAAAUGUGUGAUAGGAUAACUAAUUAAAGGGAUAUAGGAUUAUAUAGCGUGAAUUACUCAAAUAGCAGAAAGCCAAUUUAUCAAUAGCACUGAAUGAACUUCAAUAGCAGUAACGAAUGUUGACUAACUUCAGAGGUUGUUUAAAAACAAACUUGGCAGCUUGCAUUGGAGAAACGUAAGAGUACCAUGAUUUGUCUUGAAACAUCACUAGCGAAUGAAGAGCAGCUUGUUUUAUCGAUAGUUAGAUCGUCACACUGUUAAAUGUAAGUUGUUGUCACUUAUUUUGCAAACAUGACAUGUUAUUCUAGUAGAUAAGUAAUUUUGGUUUGCAUUCUGAGAGCCACAGAAUUGCCUCUCCUUCACAUAGAUUAAACAAAUUGUUGAUAGGGUACAUGGAAACAUCCAAUGGCAGUACUCCAGAAUGGGAUCUAGACAUGGCCUGAUCUAUGUCUACGUAAUAUUGAUAUGCAUGUGGCGGUGAACAAUGGGCAAAAGUGUUUCUAGUACCACAGUGUAGAUACUUUAUGACAAUGAAUGUCAGAUUCUAUAAAGUUUCACUGCAGUUAUAUAUCUGGUCAGCUAUACGCAAUAGUCAUGGGAAGUUUUGUCUUUUUUAGAGAAAUGGUGACCAUGUGGGAGUUACAAAUUGUAUAUUGUGACACAAAUGUGUAACUCGUCAAACCUCAAAUUAAAGCCACAUCAAAUCAGCUAAUUAUUGGUACAAGACUACAAGUAAUUCAUAAUGCACGUUGGCAUCCAACUUGGCUACCGAACUGAACAUGAUCCGUCUACUGCUAGUACUUGUUUGACUAUAACUUAAUACAAAACUUAGCUCUUCCUGCAACAAUCAAACAUAAAACCCAAUGGAAGGCACAGCUCACGAACAAAUUGUUUAGAUAAGUUAACAGACCGCACACGUCAAUGAAUCAACCAAAAACUUCCUCAAACUAUACAAGUAAGAUCGAUGGUUGUUGCUCAAAGGACCAUUGGAGCCCAAUUUGGAUGGUGUUUGACCAAUAGAGAAACCUGUACGAGAUGUCUGCCACGAUCGAGUCUCUACAUAUCCAAUCGAGUAAUUUAGAAGAGCAUCAUGAAAUUUGAGUAAUUUAGAACAGUGCACCAUGGACUUCCCAUAAUAUUAAGCCUCGGAUAUCUUCCAAAAUAAAUAAAAUGAAGCGAACUCAGAAUUAAAUUUAGGUAAACUUUCGGGCCUCAGAGAUCGAACAUUUACCUUUAUUCUCCAACACAAUCUACUAUUUCGACACGCAACAGGUGCUCUCCAUGAAAUUUUCCCAUCAUCACACACUAAUGUACAUUUUAGCUUCACACAACACAGAAGCUUCCUUUGAGCUUGCAGAUGCGAUUUAACAUUUCAAGGCUGGCACAAAUCAAUGAUCACGGAAAAUUAUCCAGGUUGCAGUGCCGAGACAAGCAGGGGGGGAGGGGGGAGCCGAAAAGGGAAAUCGAUAGCAUCCCAAUAGUAGAUGUUCAUGCUGAAGUCAGGAGCACGUCCCUCCAAGUACUAGAUCACAUGAAAUUCCUUGGUAAACUAGAAGCAUGGAUCAAAUAUCAUGUGCUAUUUAGACUGUCUGAAAACAGAAACUUCCUAACAGUAUAGCACCACUAGUUUUUUUUUCCUCCAUGGUACUAUAAUAAAAAUCCCUGGAAUUUUCUGUAGACUGAGCCCCAUCCAGCAGUGUAACCUAUAUGCUUCACAUAACCUACCUAACAAAAGAAUUCCAUAGAUGCCAGCUCCUAGGCUUUUGGCCCGCAAAUAUAUUAUUAGAAGUUGGAAACCUAUAAAGCCCCAACACAUGGAUAGGUCAUCAUUUUCACUAGAAGGGGAAAAGUUAUGGCACUAACCUUUAAAAGAAGUAAGUCAAAAGGAGAUUCCAGUGCCAUUCCAGAUCAAGUUGCAGUGCUGCCCCUAUAAAUACCCUUCCAUUGAUGUAUACCAGAAGCACCUCCAUAGCUGAAUAGCUGAGAGAGAAGAGAAGUUGGAGCGAAGAGUUCACUGCCGCAAGAGCCAUGCACAAAGAGGCGGAGAGUGGAAUGCAGCCAAGGAUGACUUGCCAACAGCACAGAACAAGACGGUAAUCUUUGACAUGAUUGCCAUUUGCCCGGCAAGUCCAUCCUUGGCUACACCUUACUCUCUACCUCUCCUGUAUUGCUUUUGCAUGGCCUGGAGAAAUUUGAAUUUGCUCGGUGCCUCUUCUUCCAUAGGGGUAACACUAGUGAGCCAGAAGCGACCAGGUGCGUAUCGUUAGAGGUGCAGAGCGGCGUCCCGCAUAGACCCGCAAAAGUGCUUAAUUAGUACAACUUUGCCAACAGCAGCACAGCCUAAUUAGAACUAGCUUCUUCUAAUUUGUAUACGGAGCAGGACGGGUUCGGGCGCCGCCUUGCAUCCCUACGUAUCAUUCAGAUACAGGAAUGAUUCUUUGCAUGGCACUACACAAUCCAUCACAGACAUACAAUAUCCGAUGAGAAUAAACUUCAUUAAUGAAGCCCAGGAGAACAUCAUUUUAAUAAAUAAAAAUAUAUGAGAAUGAAACUAUAAAAUCACAUAGUAUGAAAGAGAUUCUAGAAAAACAUAGUAUGAAAGAGCUUGAUUGUUGUUACUCGAAAGAACAUGUAGGGUUUUUUCAUCUAUGAAGAAUUAGCAUAGCCUUAUUCAGAUCAAAAACUGAUUUUUGGAAGAAGAAAAAAGUCAUAUUCUGAACAAUGCGUGAUGCAUUUCUAUGCCAACUCAGUACUAGACAGGAUAUCAGUGUAGGAUCCAAAAUGCUGCCAAAGAAGAAUGAUAUAGUUUCAUAUAUUUUUAAUACACAGAUAGACAGCGAGAUAUGGCACAUUUCAUCAUCUCACCACAAGAGAUGAGAACAUUUCACACAUUGCCAGCUUUGAAACAACAUGUCCUAGUAACUAGUACAAAAAAAUACCUAUAAAAGUUCAACUUAACAUAUAUAAUUUUCUAGUUAAUGUGAUAUAAUAGAUUAUUCUUUGACCAAAUGCGCAUGUACCUCUUUUUCGCAGAAUCAGAAAGGAUGACUCAGAAGAAACAGUUCGAUCAUUGACGCUCAUUCAUAGAAAAGGGGUGCAGCUAUAAAUUAGAAUCAUGUAUCUUCUGGUGGUCAUAUCUAAGGCAGAUCAUUGGUAUUUAAUGUGUGCUUGGAUAAUAAUUUCAUAUUUUCCCAUGACAUGGAAUUGCGGAACAACGACAUGAAUAUGUCUAACAACGUAAACUAAAUUUUCGAGCCCUCACAAACACAUUUACCUAUAUUUACUCUGAUAUAGUCCACAUAUGAAAUGUUUGCUAACAUCAAAUAUUUAGGAGACAUAACUGGCACCUCAGACUAUUAUGUAGGAUGAUAAAUAUCGUGAUCAAACAGCAAAGAAGUCCACUUGAUUGGGACACUUCCACAGAAGCCAUGGCAGCAAGGCAGCACUAUUCUGAAAACAAAACUAUACUUGCAGUUACUGCUGAAAACAAAUGUGUGGUAGCAUUAUCCCUACAUUAUUCCAAAUUUAUAAUAUACCAGCCAGUUAAAUAUUUUUUUUGAGGGGUACCAGCCAGUUAAGUGGAUACAAGAUUGUAUGGUGUGAAUUGUUCAAAAUAGCAAAAAUCUCAGUAGCACUGGAUGAACUUAAAUGGCAGUAAUGAAUGAUGACUACUUCAAGAGGUUGCAUUGGAUACGUGAGAGUACCAUGAUUUCUCUUCAAGAUUAUUCAGGUUUCUCUUCAAACAUCACUCUAGCAUAUGAAAGCGUGGCUUGGUUUUAUCAAUAGUUAGAUCGUCACACUGUUAAAUGUAACUAUUUGCCACUUACUAGUUUACAAACUAGCUAUGUUAUUCUAGUAGAUAAGUCCCUCUGUUUGUAUUAUGAGUGCCACACAAUUGCAUCACCUUGACAUGGAUUAAGCAGAUUGGCUGUAGAGUACAUGGAAACAUCCAAUGGCACUACCACAACCACAGUGUAGUUGCUUUAUAUAGACAUGGCAUGAUAUAUGUAGAAGAUAUGCAUGUGAGGGUGAACAAUGGACCACAGUGCUACUAGUACCAGAGUCUACUUGCUUUAUGUCACCAAAAGUCAGAUUCUAUGGAGUGCCUAUAUAUACCGGGCUAUAUGCAACACGGUCAUGGGAAGUUUUCGUCUUUUGGUAAAGUGAUGAUCAUGGGGAGUUGCACUUUGUGUUUAGUUACACAAUUGUGUAAUAUUGAAACCUCGAAGCCACAUCAAAUCAGGUGAUUAUUGUUGGUACAAGACUACAAGUAAUUCAUAAUGUACGUUGGCAUCCAACUUGGCUAUACUGCUAUUUGUUUGACUGUAACUAAUACAAAGCUUACAAGAUCUCCUUGCAACAAUCAACCAGAAAACCCAACGGAAAACACAGAUCAUGGACAAAUUGUGUUGUCAAGUUAACAGACCAGUGGGUAGUGCGUACACAUCAAUGAAUCAAUCACAAACUUGCACAAACUAUACCAGUUAGAUCCAUGGUUGCUGCUCAACCCAAUUGGUGUUUGACCAACAGAGAAACUUGUAAGAGAUGCCUGGCGUGAUCGAGUCUCUAUGUAUCCAAUCGAGACUCAAUUGGGCCUAAAAAACUAAACAAUUGGCUCGAAACCCCAGCGAUGAAAUCCAAUUCGCCAUGCGCGCUCGUGUGGGGUGGGCGUGCCCGCCCUCGGCCUCGCCGGAUCAAUUGGCCACAACGGUACCAAAAUCCUCAUGAAUCGCCCGGGUCGUCUGGCGUCGGCGUGCCACCCACACGCUCACCAGACGCGCACGCGCCCUGUUCGACGGUGUGCGCCCAACCGUGGGACCUUGCCCGGUAGGCGCGCUACGGAGAGAAAUUCGCACGGCUACUGCCGAUUAACCCGCGCAGAUCCAACAAACCGCCCCCCGGAAAAGGGCAUUGGCGAUCGCAGCCCGCGUGGGCGCUGCUCCGAUCCAGGCCCCGACGGCCGCGACGUGCGCGCCGCGGUGCGCGCGUGCAUGCGUACUCGUACAGCGGUACAAGGGAGAAGGUGGCGGGGGACACGCACCUGAAGAAGAAGCUGUUCCGCCGCCGCCGCCGCCUGCCACCGAC
rnacentral:lncRNA from 1 species